rnacentral:rRNA from 1 species
UGGGGAAUCAUGGUCAAUGGGCGAAAGCCUGAACCUGCGACGCCGCGUGAGUGAUGAAGGUCGUAAGAUCGUAAAACUCUUUUCAGGGAUCUUAACGCACAGCUGUCAACAACAGCUGUGUCUGACUCUCCCUGGAAGAAGCCCCAGCCAACUACGUGCCAGCAGCUGCGGUAAUACGUAGGGGGCGAGCGUUAUUCGGAAUUACUGGGUGUAAAGGGUAUGUAGGCGGCCCUUCAAGUCGCGUGUCAAAGUCCAGUGCUCAACGCUGGGUGUGCGCGCGAUACUGACGGGCUUGAGGGCUGGAGAGAUGAGCGGAAUUCCCGGUGUAGUGGUAAAAUACGUAGAGAUCGGGAGGAACACCAGCGGCGCAGGCGGCUCACUAGACAGUUUCUGACGCUAAGAUACGAAAGCGUGGGGAGCAAACA